rnacentral:lncRNA from 13 species
UUGAAGCUCCCUUCGUCGGCCAUACUGGAAGGAGAUGUGUCCUGGACUCCUAACAAUAACAGUGUGUUUGAUUACCUAGUGAGAGGCAAAGUAGGAAUCAACCGGCAGGAGUGUCAGGUAAGAGUAACUAUUCAUUCACAACUUAAAUAAAAAAUAUUGCUUAUUUAUGAUUACAGCACUUAUCAAUCAUUAACAAUGUGUUUUUUUUUCUCCAUCAGUUUUCUGUUCAUCUGAAUGGCUCAUCAGACAGAAUUGGUCUGUAUUCCUCGCUCACACAUCCCUUCCAAUCCAAGAUCCUUAAAACAUUGGAGGUGGGUUGCUAAUGUGCUUUUUCAAAGGUUGACAAUUGAAUCCCUUAACUGACGAGGAAUAUAACAUUUUAAAAAAACAUGUUGCUUUUUUGUUUUUUGGUCAGCGUAUCUCGUGGUUUCUAAUGGGUUUAGUAACUUUACUCUUUUGUAUUCUCCAGGCCCGGCUCACUGCAUACACUUCUAUGGUGGACGGCAGAGUGAGCAGCUCUCUCUGUGUGAGGGCUGAUGGGAAGGACAGAGCCCUGCUGGAGGCCCAGCUCUCCCACUCCCUACAGAGAGACACCAGAGCCCUGAGUCUACAUCUGACCCUGCUCCAGACUUUACUACCUACUACAGCCACGCAGCUGCACCUCAACAUGUCUGCCAACAUGUCCUCAGAUAGACUCUCCAUGCAUGGUGCCUAUGACCAGGGAGGGGAGGUCCUGCAGGCCCAGGUGGCUGGCUCAUUGGAGCACUCCCCUGGUUCCCCGUGGCUCCGGAUGGCUGUCAACGGCGGCCUGAGGCACUCCUUCCCCAGCCUCACUGCUCUGCCUCCUGCCCUGAGUCUGGAAGGAGCCCUGGGGCAGUCAGACUGGCUCACUGAAGGGCAGCUGAGAGUGACAGUGAGUAAGGCUGUGUACAGUGUGGAGCUGAGUCAUCAACAGGACCAAGGAGACACCUGGGAGGAAGAGGAUGGCAUGCUGGGGAAAGAGCCUGACGCGGCCAGUGAUUGGUUGUGCGCUCGGGCAGGGGAGGAGUCUCUGUGUGUGAAUGUGAGCCGCCGAUUGGGCAGUCAGCCGAGGGGUGGGGUCAACGCACAGCUCGCUCACUCCUCCAGCUGGCUCCACACUGCAGGUAUACCAGGUAACAGCAGUGCCCAGGUGAGCUGGACCCAGGAGGAGGGCAGGCUCUCAGGGCUGGCAGAACUACAGACCGGAGCUCAUGGCCUGAAGGCUGAGUUUGAGAGGGCCAGGACUGGCGGGGCCUCCCCACGAUGGGAGCUCCAAACCAGGGUACAGCACCAAAGCAAGGCCCUGGUCCAAAGAGGCCUGCCUAGCUCCAUCCAGGCUACAGGGCACUAUCAGGUGCAGCUUCAUCCUCUUCUUCCUCAUCCUUUCUCUUCUUUCUCGCUACUCUAUUGUUGUUAAGAAUGCUGCAUUGAACUUGAUUUUGGACAUACUCCUGGAGAUAACCUAUCAAGAUAUCGAAGAAGAUGUAUCAACGAUGCCUCAAGCUAAGGCUUUUAUAAAUAUAAGAAUAUAAAUUAAUUUGAUUGUCAGGUUUCAAGCCAUGAAAGACAUUCAUAAUUCAGUCUUUACUUCUAUGUAUUGCAGUAUUUUCAGUUGAAUAUUUACUGAGCAAAAUUAUUUUCAUGACCUCUGACUGUAGGAGGAGACAGAGCGUUUGAGUGCAGGGCUGACCAUAGCAGUUGACGAACAGAAGAAGGUGGACGUCCUAGUGGAAGCCGGCAAGGGGAACACCGCCGCCAACCUGACUGUGUCUCUAUUGCACCACCUGAGGCAACUCAAAGGAAUGAUACCUACAUCAUUGCAGGUGACUAACACAUUUGUACAUUGGAAAAUCGCUCAAAAACACAUUUACAACAAGACUCUGAUAUCACAGUUGUUUUCACUCCA